CCUACGGGAGGCAGCAGUGGGGAAUAUUGGACAAUGGGGGCAACCCUGAUCCAGCCAUGCCGCGUGUGUGAAGAAGGCCCUCGGGUUGUAAAGCACUUUCAGUGAGGAAGAACGCCUGGUGGUUAAUACCCAUCAGGAAAGACAUCACUCACAGAAGAAGCACCGGCUAACUCCGUGCCAGCAGCCGCGGUAAUACGGAGGGUGCGAGCGUUAAUCGGAAUUACUGGGCGUAAAGCGCGCGUAGGUGGCUUGAUAAGCCGGUUGUGAAAGCCCCGGGCUCAACCUGGGAACGGCAUCCGGAACUGUCAAGCUAGAGUGCAGGAGAGGAAGGUAGAAUUCCCGGUGUAGCGGUGAAAUGCGUAGAGAUCGGGAGGAAUACCAGUGGCGAAGGCGGCCUUCUGGACUGACACUGACACUGAGGUGCGAAAGCGUGGGUAGCAAACAGGAUUAGAUACCCUGGUAGC
rnacentral:rRNA from 1 species